AGGAAGUCGAUGCAAAUGUCAGGGUCUGUUUGAUGUGAAAGUUGAUUUCCUGUUUGCGCGUUCUCUACAUUCACAAGUGGCUAGUCUUAAGAUUAAAGAACGCCAAACAUUACCAAAAUUACAGAAUGUAGUGGUGGUACUUUAGUGACCUGAAUGCGAGCACUAUAUUUUUUGCUGGCUGUCAUUUUUUCGAGCUCCGUUUUUGCUGCUCUGCCAAGCCCUCAGAAUGUGACAAUGGAUGCCAUCAACACUCGAUAUAUUCUCCUGUGGGAAUGGAAUCAGUCGCAGCAUGACUACAAAGUCACUUUCACAGCAGAAUACACCCUCUCUAACGAUGAAAGUGGCUACACCAGGAUAUGUACUGGCAUAACGCAGAAAUGGUGCAACUUCACCGCCAACCUGGACUACUUUGCGAGUUAUGAACUGCGAGUCCGGGCUGAGGGUCAUGCUGGACUCAAGUCAAGCUGGUCCAUCAGGAAGGAAUUCUGUCCUGAAGAUGACGGUGAGAGGAGCUUACAUACUGAGCGCAAAUCUGAGAACUGUGUUUGCAAUUAUAGUCUGGUGUCCAUGUGUUUUCUGCAUUUGAGCAAGUGACGCUUCUCGUAAGUUACAAACUGUGUAGAAAAACAAAUAGCUUACAGUGUGAUGCUCAGAGGUAUGAAAUGACAGCAAGUUCAGAGGUCCACAGCGAUUA